GCUGAGGUUGGAGGGGACCUUAAAGAUCACCUACUUCCAACCCCACUGCCUUCGGUGGGGUUGCCAACCCCACUUGGGUGAAAAAUGUGGGGUUCAGCUGUGGAUCCCGCAGCAACCCCCAAGGACACCUGGACAGGAGCCCAGAUAAAAGCCAAGGACUCCAGGCCAGCACUGACUCAGGACAGUCUCCGCUGUUGGCUGUGCUAGGACCCAUCUUUCAUAAAGAGUUUGGAGUGGAGCCUGCUGAGAUAGAGCUUCCAGCCUUUGGGCACUGUGUGGCCCUUGCAGAGGAGAGCUUGGGCCGCAAAGAUUGGUGAUCAAGGGAGAUAGAUAGGAUGGAUGGAAGGAACCCAUUGGACUGUGGUUGGUUGCUCAAGGAGGAAAGUGGCUGCGGAGCCAUGGAGCGUCAAGCGUGAGAUCUGUGAUGUUCUGCCUUCAGCUAUCUCUACUUCCUCAUCACAGAGCAGGCAGCUUUUGGUUUGUGUUUUUUCUUUUUCUUUUCCUUUUUUUUUUUCCUAUGCUAUAUUUGCACACAAUUAUAGCAAGAUGCAAAUUAAGACCUCUCCAACCCCAUUUGUCAUUCUUUCUACCUGAUGAACUUCAUGUCAUUAAAAUGAGGACGAGGUGCCCAGAACCUGCCAAUUUCCACUGCAGAUCAGUUGUCAGAAAGCAAAAGCUUCUGUUCCUUUUCUUCAGACGGAUAAGUGAAAUGUGCAAGAGACCAUAAAUGAAGCUGAAAUAAUGGAAGAUCACUCAAAAAUUCUCCACGCUUUGGAAAGACUUAUACUCACAUUUGUAACGCUGAAGAAAGGAGAAUGCUAUGUAAGAAACAGGUUGCAGAAUAAGGACUUCUAUGUCUUAGUCCUAUCACUGCUCUAAACUUCCUGAAAAAAGAGCCCUUACUGACUGGUCUCUUUCCAGUGAAAUGAAAUUCCU